CCAGACUCCUACGGGAGGCAGCAGUGGGGAAUAUUGCGCAAUGGGCGAAAGCCUGACGCAGCGACGCCGCGUGUGGGAAGACGGUCCUCUGGAUUGUAAACCACUGUCCCCAGGGACGAAGAUGACGGUACCUGGGGAGGAAGCUCCGGCUAACUACGUGCCAGCAGCCGCGGUAAUACGUAGGGAGCGAGCGUUGUCCGGAAUUACUGGGUGUAAAGGGAGCGUAGGCGGGACUGCAAGUUGGGUGUCAAAUCUACCGGCUCAACCGGUAGCCGCACUCAAAACUGCAGUUCUUGAGUGAAGUAGAGGCAGGCGGAAUUCCUAGUGUAGCGGUGAAAUGCGUAGAUAUUAGGAGGAACACCAGUGGCGAAGGCGGCCUGCUGGGCUUUUACUGACGCUGAGGAGCGAAAGCGUGGGGAGCGAACAGGAUUAGAUACCCGUGUA
rnacentral:rRNA from 1 species